UUUUAACUAUGUCAACUACUAAAUGUGUGUGUAACUAAAUGAAACUGAUCAAGUACAAGAGGAAUUUCAGUUCAAGUAAUAAUAAGAUGCAACGAGAGAGCAAACAAGGAUUAUUUGUGGUGAAAUCCUCUAUUUUUAGUGUUAUUUUCAUUUAGGCCCCUAAUUUCUAAAUUUUGACAUCCAAAUCUCAAGCUUCCAAAUUGAGAUGCAUAUCCUAAUUUUGUUUUUUUUUCUUUUUCAAAAUGAAACCUGUACUGAUCACAUUUUUUAAGGGAUAUCUCAUGGAUGCACCCUAUUGUUUUGGUAAAAAGAUUUAAACAAAAAAAAAGAGUAGAUCAAAAUUGAGCUUUUAUACCCUUUAUUAUGAAUAAUAAUCAUACAUACCUUAAAUUCACAAAAUCAAUAUGAAAUUGUACUUUAGGCUUAAAUUUGGUCAACAAAUUUUUCAAUAUAAGCAAAUUGCUCCUUAAAAUUUAAAAUUUCUUGCCACGUGUCAAUUUAUAACGAUUUUUAUUUUAAAUUGAUUUAAAAAUAUUUAAAACAUAUUUUAAUAAAAAAAAAACAGUAAUUAACGUAAAUAUAAAUAAGUUAUUUUUUUUUAAAAAAAAAUCCUCUCCUCUCACUCCCCGGUUCUUCCCCCGCCUCGACUUUCACUCUUCCUCUUUCUUCAUAUGUGUUCUUCUUCCCCAAGACUCAACAACUCAUGAUUGGUGGCUUUAGAUCUGGACGAUGAAAAAGGCUUCAACGACGAUGACUUUAGAUCUGGAGGAUGGAGGCUUCGAUGGCAACACCUUCAAAUUUUGAAGACGAGGGCUUCAACACCGGUAUCUGAGCGGGAACGAAGGUGACAGGUGGUUGUCGAGGCAGAGGGACUGGGAUCUCCAACUAUGUGAGAAACUUGACAUACAGGAUUGGACUGACACGAGCAUCAAAUCCAGAUGCUCUUGCUCUGACGGUGGACGACAGUGGAAUAUGCUGAUGAUGGUAGAUUGAGAUGGGGACGACUUGGACUGAUUGCUUGAGGUUUUUCUGGGUUUAUGAAAACUUGAAUAAGAUUUUUAUGGGUUUUCUUGAAAUGAGUUUCUUUUGGGUUUAGAACAACUUGAAUGAAAGCAAGUCCUUUAACAAAAACGUGGGUUUGAUUUGUUUUUUUUUUCUUAUUAUUAAAUUUGUGUGUGUUUGAAAUAUGAAUUUAUUUUUGGUUGAAUUUGUUUUGCACACAUUUUAUUGAAAAAUUCAUGGUAGAUUGCGUUUUUUUUUUGUUCAAACAUGUGUUUAUAUGUUCAGAUUUGUGUAUAUAUUUUGAAAGAUUUGUUUUUUUUAAUGGAUUUAUGUUAUUAUCUCUAAUGAAUAAAUUUUAGUUGGAUUUUGUA